GUCCUCUUGAUAAUAUUUUGAGGUCUGGCCUGCUCACUGAUAUUUUGAAGAGCCGCGGUAUUUUGACCGUGCAAAGGUAGCAUAAUCAUUAGUCUCUUAAUUAGGGGCUGGAAUGAAUGGCUUGACGAGAAAUCAUCUGUCUCUUGAUAAAUUGUAUAAUUUAACUUUUAAGUUAAAAGGCUUAAAUUUUUCUUUAGGACGAGAAGACCCUAUAGAGCUUUAUAUUAUUAUUUAUAUAUUUUUUAGAUUAUUUAUUUAUAUAUUUAUAUAAUAUUUUGUUGGGGUGACAUGAAGAAUUAAUAAACUCUUCGUUAUUUUAUCAUAGAUUUAUGUUUAUUUGAUCCAUAAUUUGUGAUUAUAAGAUUAAGUUACCUUAGGGAUAACAGCGUAAUUGUUUUCGAGAGCUCAUAUUGACAAAGCAGAUUGCGACCUCGAUGUUGGAUUAAGAAAAAUUUUGGGUGCAGUAGCCCAUUAAUUAGGUCUGUUCGACCUUUAAUUUCUUACA
rnacentral:rRNA from 1 species